AUGAACGCUAGCGACAGGCUUAACACAUGCAAGUCGAGGGGCAGCACAGGUAGCAAUACCGGGUGGCGACCGGCGCACGGGUGAGUAACGCGUAUGCAACUUACCUAUCAGAGGGGGAUAACCCGGCGAAAGUCGGACUAAUACCGCAUGAAGCAGGGGCCCCGCAUGGGGAUAUUUGCUAAAGAUUCAUCGCUGAUAGAUAGGCAUGCGUUCCAUUAGGCAGUUGGCGGGGUAACGGCCCACCAAACCGACGAUGGAUAGGGGUUCUGAGAGGAAGGUCCCCCACAUUGGUACUGAGACACGGACCAAACUCCUACGGGAGGCAGCAGUGAGGAAUAUUGGUCAAUGGCCGAGAGGCUGAACCAGCCAAGUCGCGUGAGGGAUGAAGGUUCUAUGGAUCGUAAACCUCUUUUAUAAGGGAAUAAAGUGCGGGACGUGUCCCGUUUUGUAUGUACCUUAUGAAUAAGGAUCGGCUAACUCCGUGCCAGCAGCCGCGGUAAUACGGAGGAUCCGAGCGUUAUCCGGAUUUAUUGGGUUUAAAGGGUGCGUAGGCGGCCUUUUAAGUCAGCGGUGAAAGUCUGUGGCUCAACCAUAGAAUUGCCGUUGAAACUGGGGGGCUUGAGUAUGUUUGAGGCAGGCGGAAUGCGUGGUGUAGCGGUGAAAUGCAUAGAUAUCACGCAGAACCCCGAUUGCGAAGGCAGCCUGCCAAGCCAUGACUGACGCUGAUGCACGAAAGCGUGGGGAUCAAACAGGAUUAGAUACCCUGGUAGUCCACGCAGUAAACGAUGAUCACUAGCUGUUUGCGAUACACUGUAAGCGGCACAGCGAAAGCGUUAAGUGAUCCACCUGGGGAGUACGCCGGCAACGGUGAAACUCAAAGGAAUUGACGGGGGCCCGCACAAGCGGAGGAACAUGUGGUUUAAUUCGAUGAUACGCGAGGAACCUUACCCGGGUUUGAACGCAUUCGGACCGAGGUGGAAACACCUUUUCUAGCAAUAGCCGUUUGCGAGGUGCUGCAUGGUUGUCGUCAGCUCGUGCCGUGAGGUGUCGGCUUAAGUGCCAUAACGAGCGCAACCCUUGCCGAUAGUUACUAACAGGUUAUGCUGAGGACUCUGUCGGGACUGCCAUCGUAAGAUGUGAGGAAGGUGGGGAUGACGUCAAAUCAGCACGGCCCUUACGUCCGGGGCUACACACGUGUUACAAUGGCGUGGACAAAGGGAAGCCACCUGGCGACAGGGAGCGAAUCCCCAAACCACGUCUCAGUUCGGAUCGGAGUCUGCAACCCGACUCCGUGAAGCUGGAUUCGCUAGUAAUCGCGCAUCAGCCAUGGCGCGGUGAAUACGUUCCCGGGCCUUGUACACACCGCCCGUCAAGCCAUGGGAGCCGGGGGUACCUGAAGUCCGUAACCGCGAGGAUCGGCCUAGGGUAAAACUGGUGACUGGGGCU
rnacentral:rRNA from 1 species